AAAAGCUCAAAUUUGAAAUCGGCCCCCAGGUCGAGUUGUAAUUUGUAGAUUGUAUCUUGAGAGCGGAUUAAAGUCUGUUGGAACACAGCGCCUUAGAGGGUGACAGCCCCGUAAAAUCUAUUCUCAUUGUAAGAUACUUUCGAAGAGUCGAGUUGUUUGGGAAUGCAGCUCUAAGUGGGAGGUAAAUUCCUUCUAAAGCUAAAUAUUGACGAGAGACCGAUAGCGAACAAGUACUGUGAAGGAAAGAUGAAAAGCACUUUGAAAAGAGAGUGAAAAAGUACGUGAAAUUGUUAAAAGGGAAGGGUAUUGAAUCAGACUUGGUGCUGUUGUUCAACUGUGUUUUGGCACAGUGUACUCAGCAGUACUAGGCCAAGGUGGGGUGUUUGGGAGUGAAAAAGAAGUUGGAACGUAACUCUUCGGAGUGUUAUAGCCUACUUUCAUAGCUCCUCAGGCGCCUCAGGACUGCGCUUCGGCAAGGACCUUGGCAUAAUGAUUCUAUACCGCCCGUCUUGAAACACGGACCAAGGAGUCUAACGUCUAUGCGAGUGUUUGGGUGUAAAACCCGUACGCGUAAUGAAAGUGAACGUAGAUAGGAGCAGUAAUGCGCACUAUCGACCGAUCCUGAUGUUUUCAGAUGGAUUUGAGUAAGAGCAUAGCUGUUGGGACCCGAAAGAUGGUGAACUAUGCCUGAAUAGGGUGAAGCCAGAGGAAACUCUGGUGGAGGCUCGUAGCGGUUCUGACGUGCAAAUCGAUCGUCGAAUU
rnacentral:rRNA from 1 species